AUUGAACGCUGGCGGAAUGCUUUACACAUGCAAGUCGAACGGCAGCACGGACUUCGGUCUGGUGGCGAGUGGCGAACGGGUGAGUAAUGUAUCGGAACGUGCCCAGUCGUGGGGGAUAACGUAGUGAAAAUUACGCUAAUACCGCAUACGAUCUAUGGAUGAAAGCGGGGGAUCGCAAGACCUCGCGCGAUUGGAGCGGCCGAUAUCAGAUUAGGUAGUUGGUGGGGUAAAGGCCCACCAAGCCAACGAUCUGUAGCUGGUCUGAGAGGACGACCAGCCACACUGGAACUGAGACACGGUCCAGACUCCUACGGGAGGCAGAAGUGGGGAAUUUUGGACAAUGGGCGAAAGCCUGAUCCAGCCAUUCCGCGUGCAGGAUGAAGGCCCUCGGGUUGUAAACUGCUUUUGUACAGAACGAAAAGGUUUCUACUAAUACUAGGAGCUCAUGACGGUACUGUAAGAAUAAGCACCGGCUAACUACGUGCCAGCCGCUGCGGUAA
rnacentral:rRNA from 1 species